rnacentral:lncRNA from 1 species
ACUGAAUGGAGGAUAAAAGAAAAUUCUACUCAUAAUACACUAAUCUUUCAGAUUUGUGCUUAAAGGAGCAUCCAUUCACUAAGGAAUCUUCAUGUCAUCUAUGAAGACUACUGAGCAAAGAGGCACUGUUAAUAUUCUGGUGAAUUCUGUUCCUUUGGUUGAUCCUUGUCAUCUGACUCCAGUGCCAACUUCUCAUGCUAAAGGAGGUGAGAGAUGUUUCCUGAAAACAAAUCGAAGUGGCAUUGCUGGUUCAAAAUGUAUGGACCCUUUCAAAAUAUUGCCUGUUGCAUCUAGAACUGUUUGACUCAACAGACUUCAGGGACAUAUGAUCGUUUGCACUUUGGAACAACCUCACU